rnacentral:rRNA from 1 species
GAUGAACGCUAGCUACAGGCUUAACACAUGCAAGUCGAGGGACCGGCGCACGGGUGAGUAACACGUAACCAACCUGCCCUUUACUCGGGAAUAGCCUUUCGAAAGAAAGAUUAAUACCUGAUGUAAAGGAUGGGGAUGCGUUCCAUUAGGUUGUUGGUGAGGUAACGGCACACCAAGCCUUCGAUGGCUAGGGGUUCUGAGAGUAAGGCCCCCUACAUUGGAACUGAGACACGGUCCAAACUCGGACGGGGGACAGGAGAAAGGAGUAUUGGGGGAUGGGCGUUGGCCUGAACCUGCCGAGUAGAGUAAAGGAUGAAGGGUUAGGAGUGGUAAUCUACUGUUAUGUAAGGAGAUGUAUUAGAUGAAUAAGGAUCGGCUAACUCCGUGCCAGCAGCCGCGGUAAUAC